ensembl:lncRNA
CAGUCAACCUUUCCUCAACUACCAGAAACAAAGGAAAACAAAUCUGUUUACACAAGUGGUGUGAUCCACAAUCCCUUUUUCUCCAGACCCAGUCUGUCCCUAAUCAGCAAACGUAUGGUAGACAGAAGAGAACCCACAUUUGAAAGACAAGGCAUUUGAAGUAAAUUGUUUAUUGAACAAAUCAUGUAAGAGUAGCAGGAACACCAGGACAAAUCAAAAUCAUAACCGUACAACCUAAGUGUCAGCAAUGGUGGCCAAAUCAGAUGUAAAUUUUAGUCGUAUGAUUUUGAAAAUAAUUCAUACCAUUGUAGUGUUCACCCCUGUAAACAAUUUGCAUAACGAUGCGCAAGUGAAGGAGAUCCACAUUUCAAACAAGUGCAUUAGUUUGCACAAUUCCUCACCUCAGUUACCUUUGCCCUUUUCUUCAAAUGGAGGCACAGUAACAGGGGAAAGACGAUUAAGGAGUUAGGGAGAUCAUAAUUUGGUUUGCCCAUCUAGCUUGUUGAGGGGUCGGGCAGUCUGAUCAAGGCCGGCUACCGCUGCAGCAGAGGCACGGGAGCCGGCGGCCGCUUCUGCUGAGGCAUGGUUGGCAGUUGCUCCAGCUGAGGCGCGGGGGCCAGCCGCUUCUGCUGAGGCAUGGCUGGCAGUUGCUCCAGCUGAGGCGCGGGCCACUUCCAUAGAGGUAUGGUUGGCAGUUGCUUCAGCUGAGGUGCGGGCCGCUUCUUGGUUGGCAGUUGCUCCAGCUGAGGCGCGGGGCCAGCCGCUUCUGCAGAGCUAUGGUUGGCAGUUGCUCCAGCUGAGGCGCGGGCCGCUUCUGCUGAGGCAUGGUUGGCAGUUGCUUCAGCUGAGGUGUGGGCCGCUUCUUGGUUGGCAGUUGCUCCAGCUGAGGCGCGGGGGCCAGCCGCUUCUGCAGAGCUAUGGUUGGCAGUUGCUACAGCUGAGGCGCGGGCCGCUUCCGCAGAGGCUCGGGGGCCGGCGGCCGCUUCUGCUGAGGCAUGGUUGGCAGUUGCUCCAGCUGAAGCGCAGGGGCCAGCCGCUUCUGCUGAGGCAUGGUUGGCAGUUGCUCCAGCUGAGGCGCUGGGGCCAGCCGCUUCUGCUGAGGCAUGGUUGGCAGUUGCUACAGCUGAGGCAUUUGUCCCGGCGUCACACUUGCCAGAGUAUUGGUGCCAGUAGCUUUAGCAUUUGGAACAGACACCACACUUGCUUGGGAUCCAGAUGGUUCAGGUCCAGUGCAUGCAGGAUGCCCAUAAGCAUCACCUAGGAAACAAAACAUUAUGGUAAAACGCCAGCCUUAAGCUAUUGGAACUAG